rnacentral:lncRNA from 1 species
AAGUUUUACUGUACACACCCAAGAGUUACCAUGCAUGAUCCGUGAAUGAUGGGUAUCAGGCCUGGACCAGGUUUGAUUCUAUAACGGUCCAGCAUCGACGGCCAUCACUGCUGAAUCGAGGCUGUUGCUCUGGCCUGGACCAGUAUCUAUUUCAGUCCCGAUGUAGUCAUAGCUGAUACAGUAAUGUCUGUUCAUCAGCACUGGUCCAGGCUGUAUAUCAGUACUGGAUCAGAUCGAUGCUUUUCAAGAUGGCAGCCCCGCGUGGACUAUCUGACAUGUUUUGUUAAAGAAAAUCAUCUUAAUCUGACUCUUUAAGAGAAAUCUCGUUGGCUGUAUACACUAGGGCUAAAUCACUGGAUGUUAUUAUUGAGCCAAGCAUUGAAACAGAGCCAGAAGACCUUUCUGCAAUAAUCAUGACACUAGUGAAGACAAUGAGAAAUCAGGCGUAAAAAUGGUUCACUACAUGUGAUUGUAACUAUGUUUUUAAUUAGGGUGAAUGUAUUAGUGAUCAUGAUGAUGAAGAUAUUGUACUGAGAGACUUAUGAAUGAUAGUCACAAGUGUGAAUUUUUGAUGCGGAAGAUUAUUCUGGAAAUAUUAGUAUAGUAGGUGCUCCUUUAAUUCAUAUUAAUUUAUUAAUUUAGCAAGGCCACUAGUAUACAUUCUAUAGUUACCUUAUCUCACUAAGUUUCAAGACAAGAAUAUCUUAGGUUUGUUUAAUUUCAUGUGAAAAGCUAAAUUCAUUAUUCAGGUUGUGAUGAACUGAAACUUUCUUGUUUAAAGCUCUUGUUAAGCAUUGAAUUUUUUUGUGAACCUGCCUUCAUCAUGCUGGUUAAGGAAGUUAUGUUAUGGAACUAAGCUUUGUAGGACUAUGUGUGACAAGAUACCUUUGAAAAAUCUGCUUCACUACAUGGAACCGAGAGUUCAUUAAUGUUAGAGAUUUUGGGAAAUUAAUUUCUCAGUAAUGUGUCUUAAGUUACAAAACAUGAAGUGUCUUACUUGUGGAACAUUGGUAGACUAUGAUAAAGAAAACAAUUAUAAUCUUUUUUUUGGUUUUAAUAAUAAUUCCAAAUCAUUUUAAAUUAA